AAGGCAUCUCCAUCCCAGAGCGAGAGUUACUUCACAAUCGCACUGACAGCUGACCUCCAGGACCAUGUGGGAAAGCUGGAUCCUCACUGUACUGCAAUCAGCUCUUAGGAUCUUGAGAAACCGAGAGACAAGCACUGACUAAUGGCAGAAGUCAGUAAAUCAGAACACAAAAACAUACGGGAGAAAAAAAUGAGGUUGGCAGAAGAAAAAUUAUGAUGAUUUCACCCAGAAGCACUAUGGUUCUAGCUUGUACUAGAAAAAUCAUGUUGCAAUUAAUACACAUAUUUACUUUUGUCAUCUGGGAGUGUAUAUACCUGUAAUGGCCCAAUUGCAACUGACAGAAGAUUAGGAGAUUUG